UACGUAGGGUGCAAGCGUUAAUCGGAAUUACUGGCGUAAAGCGUGCGCAGGCGGUGAUGUAAGACAGAUGUGAAAUCCCCGGGCUCAACCUGGGAACUGCAUUUGUGACUGCAUCGCUGGAGUGCGGCAGAGGGGGAUGGAAUUCCGCGUGUAGCAGUGAAAUGCGUAGAUAUGCGGAGGAACACCGAUGGCGAAGGCAAUCCC
rnacentral:rRNA from 1 species